CCUUUUUGCCCUUAAUAUUUUUAUAUAAUCUCCAAAUUACCCACAUAACCCUAACAUCUCUUUCUUCCAUUUUUCCCUUUUCACGUUUGGCAUAGUUGCUGAACUUCUUCCUGUUCUUCCAAUUUGAAGAGAAGAUAAACCUUGAAACAGGCCCCUUCACAUGCAGCCUGAUUCUUUUCCAGUGGCCAAGCACGGUAGUGAGACUCGAACCAGGACCUUGAAGUGUGUGACUAUCUCAUCUAAAAGUUUAAACUCUUAGACAGAGAACACUUUUAUUAAUUUAAUUAUGUUUUAAACAGUAAUGCUA